AUGUUCACUGGUUUUGGGCGGCGCCCAUGGAGGAUUGGAGCGGCAGUGGACCUCGCCGGUGGAAGGAGGCAAUGGGAGAAGGAGGAUGACAACAGGGGCGAGCCCAAUCUGGAUCUCGACGACGACCAGAGUGAGUGCACGCGCACGCUGUCGAGCUGCAUCGGCCGCUGCCGGACCGUCGAUGAGCGGCAGCUCGCCCCUGCUGCUCCGGCCGUCGUCCUCCCGCACUCUUCAUUUCCAGGCUGUCUCCCUCGUCCUCCCGAGCUCUUCUUCCCAAGGCCGGCCCUGCUGCUCCGGUUGCCGCCCCGGCUGCCCAGUCACAGCGCCCUUGUUGAGGAACGACAACGACGACUCCGUGUGGCAGCCUUCCUGCCGGCGUCGGGCUCUGGCACUGACCCUGGCCUCUCUUCUUCAUCCUCGUGCCAUCCCAUGGUCAUCGGGGCAGUGGACGCCGUAGCCCCGAACGCUCACCACGCCGAGCUGGCGGGGCAUUCCCGCUGGAUCCGGUGUCGGGUGGGCACAGUGGAGGCAGAUGUGGCCGAAUCCGGCAUGGGGCAUGGCGGCGGCGGCCCGGGGACGGAGCAGCGGCGCUGA
rnacentral:rRNA from 1 species